rnacentral:rRNA from 1 species
UACACUCCUACGGGAGGCAGCAGUGGGGAAUUUUGGACAAUGGGCGAAAGCCUGAUCCAGCAAUGCCGCGUGUGUGAAGAAGGCCUUCGGGUUGUAAAGCACUUUUGUCCGGAAAGAAAUCCUUGGCUCUAAUACAGUCGGGGGAUGACGGUACCGGAAGAAUAAGCACCGGCUAACUACGUGCCAGCAGCCGCGGUAAUACGUAGGGUGCGAGCGUUAAUCGGAAUUACUGGGCGUAAAGCGUGCGCAGUCGGUUUGCUAAGACCGAUGUGAAAUCCCCGGGCUCAACCUGGGAACUGCAUUGGUGACUGGCAGGCUAGAGUAUGGCAGAGGGGGGUAGAAUUCCACGUGUAGCAGUGAAAUGCGUAGAGAUGUGGAGGAAUACCGAUGGCGAAGGCAGCCCCCUGGGCCAAUACUGACGCUCAUGCACGAAAGCGUGGGGAGCAAACAGGAUUAGAAACCCCAGUAGUCCCAUGAU